UUCCAGACUCCUACGGGAGGCAGCAGUGAGGAAUAUUGGUCAAUGGGCGGGAGCCUGAACCAGCCAAGUCGCGUGAAGGAAGAAGGUACUUAGUAUUGUAAACUUCUUUUGUCGGGGAACAAAGGCGGAGACGCGUCUCCGGAUGAGUGUACCCGAAGAAAAAGCAUCGGCUAACUCCGUGCCAGCAGCCGCGGUAAUACGGAGGAUGCGAGCGUUAUCCGGAUUUAUUGGGUUUAAAGGGUGCGCAGGCGGAAUGUCAAGUCAGCGGUAAAAUUUCGGGGCUCAACCCCGUCGUGCCGUUGAAACUGGCGUUCUUGAGUGAGCGAGAAGUAUGCGGAAUGCGUGGUGUAGCGGUGAAAUGCAUAGAUAUCACGCAGAACUCCGAUUGCGAAGGCAGCAUACCGGCGCUCAACUGACGCUCAUGCACGAAAGCGUGGGUAUCGGACAGGAUUAGAUACCCGAGUAUU
rnacentral:rRNA from 1 species